AUCGCUUCUCGGCCUUUUGGCUAAGAUCAAGUGUAGUAUAUGUGAGGGCACGUUUACCCCUUGCUCCUUUCAGAAUUUUCUCUUUAUCCUUGUAUUUUGCCAGUUUCACUAUGAUAUGUCGUGCAGAAGAUCGAUCAAGUUACGUCUGAAGGGAGUUCUCUGUGCCUCUUGGAUUUCAAUGCCU